AAAUGGCAGGAUCAAAUUCACACAUAGCAAUAUUAACCUUAAAUGUAAAUGUGCUAAAUGCCCCAGUCAAAAGACAUAGACCGGCAAAUUGGAUAACAACUCAAGACCCAUCAUACAUAUAAAAAUGUACAAAG